UUCUUCCAGUCCCUUUUAAAACUUGAAACCCAGAAUUAACCAAGGGGAAGAGGUAGUUUUAGGUUUAUUUUUUUGUUUCAUGUUGAAUUUUAUGCACUUUUUAAUGCAUUCCUCAGUUUUUCAUAGAUUAAAUUAAUGAAAGAGUAAAUAGAGGUUUCUCUGUUUUGUUGUUUAAUUCUGCUGCACUUCUAUUAAGUACUCCUCAUACAUUAGAAUUGGUGCUAGAGAAACUGUUACAUUAGACAGUUUGUUAUUCAAAUGAUAAAUCCGUAACUUGGAUUAUAAUGCCAUGAGUAUAUCAGUUAUUCUAGUGUUAAAAAAUGUUAGAAUGAUGUUACAGAUGGCAGUUGUGUUUUAUUAAAAGUAAAUAAAUUUGAUUAAUUUUCCCAAAAAAUUCUAAAUCCUAACAGUAGGCAGGGUUUCCUAAUAAUUAAAGUGCUGGCCUGUAAACUGCAAGAUGGCAAACUAUCUCAUUUUGUGAUCUUAAGGAAACUUCACUUGCUUGGCUUCUAGUUGUGAAAAAUAUAGCCAAGCAAGUAUAUUAUACAUCUAUACUAAUAAAGUGCCUUAGAACUGAUAGCACUUUAUUUGCUCCAAGGGGAAUGUUUAGGUUUUUACAUAAGCUUAAUAAAUAAAUAUUUUAACAAACAACAACAAUUCCCCCCCCCAAAUACACACCAGAAUUACAAAAAAAGGAAAACAUUUUACCUAGCUAAAGAUAAAAAGAGCAGUCACAGUAAGGCAUUAUAAAGGCAUAUUGCCGUUGGUGUAAUGAUGUUCAUUAUAGAAUAAUAGCAAUAUAAAUAGAGAUGCAAAAUAAAGAGGUUUAUUUAACCAAAAUAACUUAAGUAAAAUGCUUGUGAAAACAAGUUUGACUUUUUUUUCUGUUUGCAUUCUGCAACUCCUUUUAAUACUCCUUAUACCAUUAUUGUGAGAUUUACUACUACAGUAAGAAGUACCAAUUCAUGUUUUCCUCUUUAAGAAACAUUGAAAUAACCAGUUUCAGUGUUUUUAUAUGUAGACACCCUUUUGAUCACUUUUAAUGACUAUUUUCAGAGUAGCAGAAUAUUUAAACGGAACUAGUUGCUAAUAUAUUGCAAGGUACACACACUCUCUUAUAAUGGGCCAAUUCAGAGUAAUCAGUUAAACUAACCUGUACACCUAUACAAUAUGAAAAUGAAAACUGUGAAGGUUUAUCACUGUGAUUGAAAAAUCUCCCAUGAAGAUGCUUAUUGGACAUGCAAACUCUCAUUGAAUGUGAUUAGGACUGAAUUUCAUCACAGUGCUUCCCUUAAAAUAUGAUUUUUAAAAAUGAAUCUUAAAAUUUAAUCUUAAUUGUUAGUUAUAAAGCUGUCUAAAUUACCAAAAUUCAGUGAUACCCUGGCUUUUGUCAAAUUUUACAAGAAAUAAUUUUUUUUUUUUUUAAAUGAUCCAAAAUCAUGCAUGUUAGAUUCAUGUUUGACCCUUAACAGACCCAGUUUGAGUGAACAUAUAUAUCUUGUGAUGAAUUGGUUUACCCAGAAUUGGUUCCUGCCAAUCCUGGUUAGAGUAAUCAGGGCUUUUCUUCCUGCAGCCCUACACCGAAUGAAAGGCUGACAAAAUGAAUCAGAUUUAAAAAAAAAAAAAAAUCAUUUAAGAUGCAUUCUACCAUCACAUGAUCUUAAUCACCUGGCCAUAGCUAAUUACCAAAUGAGACAUAUUUUGGGAAAAUAAGAAAAAAAGAUGAAUACAUUCAUUAAUGCACCUAAAAUAAUAAUAAUAAACAGAAAUAGAGGGUCAACAACAAACCAUAAAUUCAUGUAUAGAUUACACAAACAUAAUAGUAUUAUCAGCAUAGAGUUGAUUUUGCUUCUUAAUACUGUCAAGAUGAUGGUAGCUGUUCCCAGAAGUAGCCUGAGAAAGGAAGGUGAUAAGUAACAAAAGAAGUUCAAUCUGCAUCAUCAGACCCUCAGGAGCCAAAGUCCUCCUUCAUAAACAAGUAACUUUAUUUAAUGCAAAAUCAAGACACCUUACAUGUGUAGAAAAAUUUCAUAGAAUUUCACAGUUCAUCUAUGGCAGGGACUAAACUGAAAGUCUUUGUUUUUUACCUUCCAGCACUUUGGCCUCAAAGCAAUACUGCCUACCUUUUUUUUAACCAGUAACUAUGAGUUUCUGUGAUGAGAGUUCCCCUGCUUUCCGUCACCUUCCUUUGCCCCUCUUGCCUCCAAUAACCAGCUUGUUAAUCAAUUGAAGCCUUUAUCCCAGUUGUAUUGGUUCACUUAAUUUAACUAACACAGCACUGCUAACUCUGCUUAGUGCCUUCAGGACAGUACUUAAGUAGGAAUAGUAUGACAUUGUGAACAUUAUUAAAAAAACAGGACAUAACUUACUUUUUUUAAGUAAUGUAAAAAAAUGUUUAUCAUGAUAAAAACAUUAAACAGUGAUUUGUACAUGCGAUCAAGUUGCUCUCUUUUCAUUCAGUCAUUUUCUAACCUGUUUUGUCCAGAACAGGGUUGCGGAGAGUGCCAGAACUUAUCCCAGCCAGCAUAGUGUGCAAGGUAGGAACAAGCCUUGGACAGGGUGCCAGUCCAUUGCAAGGCGAAUAAACAUACACACACACACACCCCAACCCCACACUCGGGCCAAUUUAGCAUCACCAAUCCACCUGACCCACAUGUCUUUGGACUGUUGGAGGAAACCAUUGCAGACAUGGGGGAGGGCAUGUAAACCCGACCCUGGACAUGAACCCUGGUCUUGUUUCUGUGACGCAGCAGCACUACCACUGCAGCACCAUGCCACUUCUCUCUUAUCAUACAUUCACUUAUUUCUUUAAGUAAUGUUACAGUAUUGAGUUAGUAAGGGGAUAUGUCAGUGGGCAACUACAAAAGAAAAAAUAGUUAAAAGUGAUUUUCAUGAUGAAAAUUUUUAAAGAAGAUUUCUGAAAGAGCAUUCUAGCUGAUGAAGACAAGACCUCCAGAAUGUUUCUCUAGCUGUGUUUUUAUUGUUUUCCAUGUUGAAAUAACCUUCUUCUAAUACAACAGUAAAGCAGAUCAUAGGAGAUAGGUUUACCAAGGUGAUCACUGCAGUGAGUAAAAUGCUCCUUGUCACUUGCAUUGUAAGCUGCCCUGUGUUUUUAUGAAGCACUGGUAUUCAGCUAAGUAGUCAUACGUUGGAGCAGUUCAGGCAAUAUUUGAGAGAAGCAGGGUACAACACUGUGUAUGUAAGCUGAACCUGCUGUCGGCUUAUUCUGGGGGGAAUGACUUGAUAUAUACAACUGCUGGCUUAUUUGUCUGUCUAACAUCUUGAUAUGCAUGUCAGUUCAAAUGGAAAGGUAACACAUUUACCAGCUUACAUACUUUAUUUAUAGUUUUACUAUGACAUGGUUACUUUAUAAAGCUUUUUUAUGUUUUUGGUGUACCAUAUCACCUUAAAUGUAAUUCUUUCACGUUUCAUCUUUUUUGCCUUAAUUUUACAGAACAUUUGCAAGAAAUUAAGGUUCUGAUGAAUGUGUUACCCCAAAGAACAAAGCAAUUUUUUUCUUUAUGCUAAAGCUGAUGAAAUAAGUUUCUGUUUGCAUGACAGAUAUGCAGUUUUUGAGUUCACUGGCAUUAUAACUGCUUGCAGUCAGAGGACUUGUAAACUUUUUAGAGUCAAUUAACAAAUAAAAUUUCCCUUUUUGAACUAAUAGUAAAUGGAGAUAAACAGGACCUGCUGCUUUUUGACGAGGACACUAGACAAGUGCAUGGCACUGUGGAUUGCAUGGAGAUGAAUGAACUAUCCACCUUUUAAUAUUUUUGGAUUCUGUACUUGACCCCUGUCUUGCUGCUUCCCUACCUGUUUUGCUCUUGCUUUUUUCUUCUGAAACACUUUGUACUUCACAAUUGUAUUGGGAUUACUUUGCAAACACACUGGUUUCUUCUGUGAAUGUUUUGCUCUUCCUUCUCAAAGGGUUACCUGUUUUUAACAUUGUAUAUGGUUGUGUAUUAGUGUCAAUAAAGUUGACCUGUGUGAA